rnacentral:pre_miRNA from 1 species
GAAGUAUGCCUGCAGCCAAGGAUGACUUGCCGACAUUGCUCAGUAUCUGCCAUAGUUUCUGCAGCGAAGUAAACUGGAGAAAGAAGAUGUGGGCAAGUUGUCUUUGGCUACAUGUUUCUUCCU